UACCUUCAGCAGUCCAAAAUAUUAGUCAAUGCUCGAAAGAGUGAACUAGCUAACUGAAAUCAAUUAUAAUAAUUGAUAACAUAAGGGAAAAUAAUGAUAAUACCUUAUUAUUAGUGUCGUCCAAAUCUGGUGCCAGAAGACUCGGUAAGGCCAGAGACACAAACGUUAAUCGUCUUAAUCAGGCGUAAAGGGUUUGUAGGCGGCUUUUAAAUUUACUUAUAGAAAAUCUUAAUUUAAUUAAAGAUAAAAUAAGUUAAGAAUAAAAGCUAGAAUCAAAUAGAGGAUAUAUUAAAUAAUGCUUAGAGUAGGUCUGAUAUCCUUAAAUACUAAGUAGAAUAUUAAAGGCGAAAGCUUUUUUCCAUUAAUGAUUGACGCUCAGAAACGAAGGUGAGGAUAGGAAAUAGGAUUAGAUACCCAAAAUACCCCUCUCUGUCAACGAUGAAUGGUAGUUAUUAGUAAUAAAAUUAUUAAUGGCAAUGUUAACACGAUAACCAUUCCGCCUUGUGAGUACAACUGCAAAGUUGAAAACAAAAAAAUUAGUCGGUUUCGGAGCAAACGAAGUGAAGCAUGUUAUUUAAUUCGAUAAUCCGCAAAAAGAAAA
rnacentral:rRNA from 1 species